rnacentral:rRNA from 1 species
AUACGGAGGGUGCAAGCGUUAUUCGGAAUCACUGGGCGUAAAGGGUGCGUAGGCGGUUUGAUAAGUCUGAUGUGAAAUCCUAUGGCUCAACCAUAGAACUGCAUUGGAAACUGUCAGACUAGAAUACUGAAGGGGCAGAUGGAAUUAGUGGUGUAGGGGUAAAAUCCGUAGAUAUCAAUAGGAAUACCGAAAGCGAAAGCGAUCUGCUGGGAAGUUAUUGACGCUGAGGCACGAAAGCGUGGGGAGCAAACGGGAUUAGAAACCCUAGUAGUCC